AUUGAACGCUGGCGGCAGGCCUAACACAUGCAAGUCGAGCGGAGCGGCGGACGGGUGAGUAAUGCCUAGGAAUCUGCCUGGUAGUGGGGGAUAACGUCCGGAAACGGGCGCUAAUACCGCAUACUAUCAGAUGAGCCUAGGUCGGAUUAGCUAGUUGGUGGGGUAAAGGCCUACCAAGUCGACGAUCCGUAACUGGUCUGAGAGGAUGAACAGUCACACGGGAACGGAGACACGGUCAAGACUCCUACGGGAGGCAGCAGUGGGGAAUAUUGGACAAUGGGCGAAAGCCUGAUCCAGCCAGGCCGAGUGUGUGAAGAAGGCCUUCGGAUUGUAAAGCACUUUAAGUUGGGAGGCGUUACCAACAGAAUAAGCACCGGCUAACUCCGUGCCAGCAGCCGCGGUAAUUC
rnacentral:rRNA from 1 species